AAGUCGAACGCUUCUUUCCUCCCGAGUGCUUGCACUCAAUUGGAAAGAGGAGUGGCGGACGGGUGAGUAACACGUGGGUAACCUACCCAUCAGAGGGGGAUAACACUUGGAAACAGGUGCUAAUACCGCAUAACAGUUUAUGCCGCAUGGCAUAAGAGUGAAAGGCGCUUUCGGGUGUCGCUGAUGGAUGGACCCGCGGUGCAUUAGCUAGUUGGUGAGGUAACGGCUCACCAAGGCCACGAUGCAUAGCCGACCUGAGAGGGUGAUCGGCCACACUGGGACUGAGACACGGCCCAGACUCCUACGGGAGGCAGCAGUAGGGAAUCUUCGGCAAUGGACGAAAGUCUGACCGAGCAACGCCGCGUGAGUGAAGAAGGUUUUCGGAUCGUAAAACUCUGUUGUUAGAGAAGAACAAGGACGUUAGUAACUGAACGUCCCCUGACGGUAUCUAACCAGAAAGCCACGGCUAACUACGUGCCAGCAGCCGCGGUAAUACGUAGGUGGCAAGCGUUGUCCGGAUUUAUUGGGCGUAAAGCGAGCGCAGGCGGUUUCUUAAGUCUGAUGUGAAAGCCCCCGGCUCAACCGGGGAGGGUCAUUGGAAACUGGGAGACUUGAGUGCAGAAGAGGAGAGUGGAAUUCCAUGUGUAGCGGUGAAAUGCGUAGAUAUAUGGAGGAACACCAGUGGCGAAGGCGGCUCUCUGGUCUGUAACUGACGCUGAGGCUCGA
rnacentral:rRNA from 1 species